rnacentral:lncRNA from 1 species
GGCAUAGUCUCAACUGAGGCGCCUCUUCCAAGAUUACUCUAAUUUAUAUAAAGUGGGAAAACAAAACAAAACAAAGAACAAAAAAAAAAAAAAAAAAAAGAAAGAAACAAAACAAAACGAAAACACAACCAGGACAGUAGUGCUCGACCCUAAAUGAUAUGUCCAUAUCAUAUCCCUUCUGUCAAGGCUCAGUGAUCUAUGCAGAAGGAGUGGAAGGAAAGAACGAGCCAGAGGAGAUAGAUAACAUUAAGGAAGCUGUUUUCCACACACAACAGGGAACAUGCGCAUAUAUACUCAUGGCACUGGACAAGGUAGCUCACUAGCCAGUCAAAAAUCCAGCAUAGAAGUAGGAAGUGAGCAAAAAUUCCACCACUGGCUGUGGAGGUAUUGGUAUUUGCUGACUGCCGGGAGAGCCUGAGUUAGUUAUCUCGAAUGAUGUGACUCCUAUACCAGGACAAUCUUACCCCACCAAUAACUGGGCAUUAGAAACUAGACCCAAUGGGGAAAGAAGGAAGAAAAAAAGAAAUAAAAAACUGAACUUAUCUCAAAGCUGGGUGUGAAUGGUUAGGAGGGCAGAGAAGAUGGUAAUGGGAGCGUUUGGGAAAGGGGGGUGAAGAUGUUCAGAAUAGGUUAUAUAGACUUCUCAAAUAAUUCAUAAACAUACUGGGAAAAGAAUUUCACUCUUGCCAAAUUAUCUGUUUUUAUAUUUUGGAACAUAUAGAAUACACUACUGUAUACAUGUAAUUUAUAAACAAAUAAAUCCUCAUCUACUGUGUAGUUCUAAAAGCUUUUUCUCAAAUGAAUAUCUUUCCCUUCCAUUCUGUGUGUCUCCUAAGUGGGGUCCCAGAAAUCACAAUGCAGGCAUUGUCAUCUGCGAAAGACAUUUGGGAACCACAUGGGCCAGAGUUUAUACCCAUAAAUUAAAAUAGACAAAUUGAUGUGUGAAAAUUUAAAAAGUCAUGCAGGUUCAUCCUUUUCUAAGCCAAGGAUAGAGCCAUGUGACAGAACACGUUUUCGGUAUAUUCUUUAACUGAAUAAAUGGCUGAAGGAAGAAUCUAUAUGAUAAAAAGAAUCUAGUUUUGCGUUUUGCAGUUUAACUACUAACCAUGGAAAGCUUGAAUAGUACAAAUGGUCAGAAUUUCAUUCGACUCCACACAGAUAUUUCAGCUAUCUAUCUUGUUUUUCUAGAUUCUCCUGUGGUUCCUGUUGAGACUCAUUAUUUCCACCUUCAUCUAUGUUGCCUUCUCUGGCCUUUGAAAUCUCCACACCCCUGCCAGGCAGGUCUUCAACAAUGUAGUGGCCCUCCAGAUCUUUCAAGCUGUUCAUUGAAAUCUCCCACUGAGGACAGCAGAGGCCUGUGAAAUGUCAGUCACCCCUGUCAUACACCCCACUUUCUCCAGGUAGACCAAGCUAGGCAUUUCCCUCUCAAUGCCAGGAAUAACAAAGAAUGACAAGGCAAAUAGUGCAGGUUCUAGAACAUUCUUAGGUGAAGCCCAGUUCCUGGGGUGAGAGAGACCAGAUUAAAGAUUGUAAAAUUUAGAUCUCUUCUUAGUCUAUUUUGCAUUGCUAUUAUAAAAUGACUGAGGCUAGACAACUUAUGAAUUAAAGAGGUAUAUUUGGUUUUUGGCCUUCAUGGUUGGAAGGCUUCUAAAAGAAUGGGUCUCAGUAACUUGGCAAAGUACCCUUAGAUGCACCACAGUGUGGUGAAGGGAGUGGAGAUGGAGGCACUCUCAUGUAUGGGGAGGACUAGGUAAUGUGGAAAGACAAGAAACAAGAGACUGGGGAGAUCAUUCUUUUGAUAACACCCACAAUUCUUGAGAACGUCCAUCCCUACUUACCUGACCAGUCCUAUAAGACAGCACCAAGAUUUCAUGAAGGUAGGACCCACGUGACCUGGUCAUUUUCUGGCAGACUUUCAAAGAUGAUGACACAUAGCCCUUUGGGGGACAGACAGUUCAAGCCAUAACAGGUAAGUAUGGGGCCUAGUUGCUAAUGAAGAGAAGACCUCAUGAAAAACAGAGGUUGAGUUUUAGCAUCCAGAGAACACCAACAGGGAUAACUUUUUAAAUGUGAAAUCAGUUUAAAAGCUGGUUAUCAAUUGAGCUACAAAGUUCCUUUGCUUUGGUCCUUAGGCUGGCUUUGUGACCCCUGGUCUGCCAUGAGCACCCUGUGGAUUGUUUCCUCAGUUCUGCUCCUUUGUACUUUGUUGUAUUUAUUUUUAUCUUUCUCCUAGACAUCGAACAGGCCUUGAACCAGUGUUUGUUUCUUCUUCCUUUCUUAGAAGAAGAGAACAUAGUGAAGGGAUUCCUUAAGGUUCCUGAAGAGAUUGCUUGGAAACUUAAGACAGAGUGUGAGAGGGAUGGGAGCAGAAGAAAGGAGGAGAGGGAAUGAAGAAAAGAUGAACAGC